UUGUCACAACGGCUUCCUGACGUGGCAAUUUUAAUGACCGGAGCA
rnacentral:ncRNA from 1 species